rnacentral:rRNA from 1 species
GUAGGUGGCAAGCGUUGUCCGGAGUUAUUGGGCGUAAAGCGCGCGCAGGCGGUUCUUUAAGUCUGAUGUGAAAGCCCACGGCUCAACCGUGGAGGGUCAUUGGAAACUGGAGAACUUGAGUACAGAAGAGGAAAGCGGAAUUCCACGUGUAGCGGUGAAAUGCGUAGAGAUGUGGAGGAACACCAGUGGCGAAGGCGGCUUUCUGGUCUGUAACUGACGCUGAGGCGCGAAAGCGUGGGGAGCAAACAGGAUUAGAUACCCUGGUAGUCCACGCCGUAAACGAUGAGUGCUAAGUGUUAGGGGGUUUCCGCCCCCCUUAGUGCUGCAGCUAGCGCAUUAAGCACUCCGCCUGGGAGUACGGCCGCAAGGCUG